rnacentral:rRNA from 1 species
GAUGAACGCUGGCGGCGUGCCUAAUACAUGCAAGUCGAGCGAACGGACGAGAAGCUUGCUUCUCUGAUGUUAGCGGCGGACGGGUGAGUAACACGUGGAUAACCUACCUAUAAGACUGGGAUAACUUCGGGAAACCGGAGCUAAUACCGGAUAAUAUUUUGAACCGCAUGGUUCAAAAGUGAAAGACGGUCUUGCUGUCACUUAUAGAUGGAUCCGCGCUGCAUUAGCUAGUUGGUAAGGUAACGGCUUACCAAGGCAACGAUGCAUAGCCGACCUGGGAGGGUGAUAGGCCACACGGGAACUGAGACGCGGUCCAGGCUCCUACGGGAGGCAGCAGUAGGGAAUCUGCCGCAAUGGGCGAAAGCCUGACGGAGCAACGCCGAGUGAGUGAUGAAGGUCUUCGGAUCGUAAAAAUCUGUUAUUAGGGAAGAACAUAUGUGUAAGUAACUGUGCACAGCUUGACGGUACCUAAUCAGAAAGCCACGGCUAACUACGUG